rnacentral:rRNA from 1 species
CACGUAGGGGGGCGAGCGUUGUCCGGAUUUAUUGGGCGUAAAGAGCUCGUAGGCGGCUCGGUAAGUCAGGUGUGAAAACUCUAGGCUCAACCUAGAGACGCCACCUGAUACUGCUGUGGCUAGAGUCCGGUAGGGGAGCAUGGAAUUCCUGGUGUAGCGGUGAAAUGCGCAGAUAUCAGGAGGAACACCAGUGGCGAAGGCGGUGCUCUGGGCCGGAACUGACGCUGAGGAGCGAAAGCGUGGGGAGCAAACAGG